CCCAUGCAGUUAGAAAGCCUCCACGGUGUUUAUUUCAGAUGGCACAAAAAUUAAUAUUAAAAUAAUACCGAUAGGCCUACCAAUAAAUCUGUUCCACACAAACUUAAUUUGGCCAGACUUAUCAAGUAUAUAGCUUCAAGUUAGCUUUUUCAUCCGAGUAGUAUAGACAAUCCUCUUCUUUCACAUCAUUGAAUAAGCUAGAUUUGCUUCUGUAACAAUUAAAUUAAGCUAAUUUUGGGCUAUUUAAUGGGAAUUAAAACACCGACAAUACCUUUCUUUGUCUUUGAUACUCCUGGCCUUUCUCUGUCUUAUUGUUGCUCGUUUAACAGACUUUCGUUUGCACUCUUCCUCUUCUUUUUCUUCAUAGUAGUCAUACAAUUUCUUUGUCCAUGUUCCUACUCCACGAAUAUGAAGCCAAACGUAGCCCGUCAAAUCUGGUGAGCUGCUGAUCGUAAAUGGAUGCCAUUCGUAUUUUGCAAUUUGCGGUAUAUUGACUAUCACGUAGUCACCAGGUUUGUAAUGGAAAUUGGGGGGUCGCUUGAUCACCAAAUGUGUUACCU